rnacentral:lncRNA from 1 species
AUGAAGUGUGCUCUAAUCACCAUGGUGAUGAUUCUACACACCACCUAAUAACCAAUGCGAGGCCAUACUAGCAUUUGUAGAUUGGUGGGAUGAAUUACCACCUUAGACUAUCACCACGCCCUCUAGGAGUCGAGUGAUCUAGCAAAGCGGGUCAAGUGUGCUCUAAUCACCAUGGUGAUGAUUCUACACACCACCUAAUAACCAAUGCGAGGCCAUACUAGCAUUUGUAGAUUGGUGGGAUGAAUUACCACAUUAGACUAUCACCACGCCCUCUAGGAGUCGAGUGAUCUAGCAAAGCGGGUCUGCGCGGAGCCACUCAAUAUUCGGC